rnacentral:rRNA from 1 species
AGACCCGAAACCCGGUGAUCUAGCCAUGGGCAGGUUGAAGGUUGGGUAACACUAACUGGAGGACCGAACCGACUAAUGUUGAAAAAUUAGCGGAUGACCUGUGGCUGGGGGUGAAAGGCCAAUCAAACCGGGAGAUAGCUGGUUCUCCCCGAAAGCUAUUUAGGUAGCGCCUCGUGAAUUCAUCUCCGGGGGUAGAGCACUGUUUCGGCUAGGGGGCCAUCCCGGCUUACCAACCCGAUGCAAACUGCGAAUACCGGAGAAUGUUAUCACGGGAGACACACGGCGGGUGCUAACGUCCGUCGUGAAGAGGGAAACAACCCAGACCGCCAGCUAAGGUCCCAAAGUCAUGGUUAAGUGGGAAACGAUGUGGGAAGGCCCAGACAGCCAGGAUGUUGGCUUAGAAGCAGCCAUCAUUUAAAGAAAGCGUAAUAGCUCACUGGUCGAGUCGGCCUGCGCGGAAGAUGUAACGGGGCUAAACCAUGCACCGAAGCUGCGGCAGCGACACUCAGGUGUUGUUGGGUAGGGGAGCGUUCUGUAAGCCUGUGAAGGUGUGUCGUGAGGCAUGCUGGAGGUAUCAGAAGUGCGAAUGCUGACAUAAGUAACGAUAAAGCGGGUGA